AAGUCGUAACAAGGUUUCCGUAGGUGAACCUGCGGAAGGAUCAUUAACGAACCGUCGGCACGAGCUGUUGCUGGCCCUCAAACGGGGGGUAUGUGCACGCUCUGUCUGCAUCCACUCACACCUGUGCACCUUCUGUAGUUCUGUGGUCUGGGGGGUCUCUCCUCCUGUCUGCGGUUCUGCGCCUUUACACACACACUGUGACAUGGUCUUAUGGAAUGUACGCAGCGUUUAACGCAAUACAAUACAACUCUCAGCAACGGAUCUCUUGGCUCUCGCAUCGAUGAAGAACGCAGCGAAAUGCGAUAAGUAAUGUGAAUUGCAGAAUUCAGUGAAUCAUCGAAUCUUUGAACGCACCUUGCGCUCCUUGGUAUUCCGAGGAGCAUGCCUGUUUGAGUGUCAUCGAAAAUCUCAAGCCAAGCUGUUUUGACAUCGGUCGAAAAAGCCUGGAUUUUGAGUGUGGGAGGUCUGCAGGCAGUCCCGAUCUUGGGACUGCCAGCUCUCCUGAAAUGCAUUAGUGGGAUGGGCAUUGCGACCAGCCUCUUCGACGUCGUAACGCGAUCGUCGUGGACUUGUGAGCUUUCCCCCCCUUGACUUUGCUAUUGGUGAAGGCUUGACCUCAAAUCAGGUAGGACUACCCGCUGAACUUAA
rnacentral:rRNA from 1 species